UACGAAGGGGGCUAGCGUUGUUCGGAAUCACUGGGCGUAAAGCGCACGCAGGCGGUUCGUUAAGUCAGAUGUGAAAGCCCCGGGCUCAACCUGGGAACUGCAUUUGAAACUGGCGGGCUUGAGUAUGGCAGAGGGGGGUGGAAUUCCGCGUGUAGCAGUGAAAUGCGUAGAGAUGCGGAGGAACACCGAUGGCGAAGGCAGCCCCCUGGGCCAAUACUGACGCUCAGGCACGAAAGCGUGGGGAGCAAACAGG
rnacentral:rRNA from 1 species